CCUACGGGGAGCUGCAGUGGGGAAUAUUGGGCAAUGGGCGCAAGCCUGACCCAGCAACGCCGCGUGAAGGAAGAAGGCUUUCGGGUUGUAAACUUCUUUUGACAGGGAAGAGCAGAAGACGGUACCUGUCGAAUAAGCCACGGCUAACUACUUGCCAGCAGCCGCGGUAAUGCGUAGGUGGCAAGCGUUGUCCGGAUUUAGUGGGUUUAAGGGGCGUGUAGCCGGGCUGACAAGUCAGAUGGUAAAUCCGGGGGCUCAACCCCCGAACUGCAUGUGAAACUGGUGGUGUUGAGUAUCGGAGAGGCAGGCGGAAUUCCUAGUGUAGCGGUGAAAUGCGUAGAUAUUAGGAGGAACACCAGUGGCGAAGGCGGCCUGCUGGACGACAACUGACGGUGAGGCGCGAAAGCGUGGGGAGCAAACAGGAUUAGAUACCCUGGUAGUC
rnacentral:rRNA from 1 species